rnacentral:rRNA from 1 species
AGUAAAAGUCGUAACAAGGUUUCCGUAGGUGAACCUGCGGAAGGAUCAUUAACGAUUGCUAUAAAUGCAAAGACAAAACUCACUGGAUUGAACGCUCAAACUCCUGACGAGUUCAGGAAGGAUGAUGCCUCUCACGGCCAUCGUGGUCGUUGCGCUCUGCGCUGCGAACGAUGUAAAACAAACAACCGAUGGCCUCUCAUACAGUAUAAUAUCUCUCGCCAUGGCAUACAGGCCUGGCAUCUGGUACGAGUCUCUCGCAGUCUCAAAACCAACCUUACAACUCUGAGCGGUGGAUCACUUGGCUUGUGGAUGCUAUGAAGACCAUAGCUAAGUGUGAGAAUGGCAGCGAGCCGUCGCUAUAUGCGCUGUCCUCUUCUUAUCACAUGUCGAAUGCACAUUGCGCCCCACCCAGCGGUCGGCUAAACAACCUGCAGACAAAAGCCUGUGAGUUGGAACAAAGGCUAAUGUGUGGCCCUCGAGCAACGGCGGGGGAGCCAGGAGCACAUGAGCGUGCGGACCAACUACUCGUGAGUAGUCAGGCUUGACCCUAUGGUGGGGCACUCCUAGUCGAGUGUGGUGGAUCGGACUCACAUCUCUUGUUGCGCGUUCGCGCGUGAUGGAGUUUGAGUUUCUUUGUUGCUGGUGGCAUUUGGGUCGACAUCAGUCGUGCCCGUAAACAACUGCCUUGGCUCGUGCCUCUGUGCGUGUACCUCUCGAAGGAGCGUACAUUGAAGGCCAUAGCUGGCGAUCACUCUUGCGGCCAGGGCACUACUUCGGUUGUGCGCACAGGUCCAAAAGGAAUUGGUAAUACGAGAAUCGGGUCUCAAUACUCUGGACGGCUUCUGCACACUAACACAAACUGUGGAGUGAUGAUCACAUGGUUAUCGAGAGAACUGCAAUACCGCUUUUCUGGCAAGGCCCCGUCCGAGCCUCACCUCUUUUGAAUGCACACACAUACCAGACAGUGCCUCCCCUGACGAGAUCAGGAAGGAUGGUCUGCGAGUGUGUGUAAAAAGUAACAGAUUGGCCGGCAGUCUCGCAUCACAUCUGUAUCAGGUGUGGUGAUCAUGUUGAUUCUUGAGGUCCCUGCAUAUCCGUUGCUCUGGUAAAGGCUCUUCUUUCUCGUAGUAUUCGAGAAUGACAUGAGCUUUACCACUUUUGAAUGCGCACACCAGGACAAGGAAUGAGAACCUGACGAGAUCAGGAAUAAGUGCGUCAAAAGUAACCGAGUGGCCGGCAGUCUCGCAUCACUCUACUGGUUGACCUUAUGUGUGACGUGAUGAUCACAUGGUUAUCGAGAGAACUGCAAUACCGCUUUUCUGGCAAGGCCCCGUCCGAGCCUCACCUCUUUUGAAUGCACACACAUACCAGACAGUGCCUCCCCUGACGAGAUCAGGAAGGAUGGUCUGCGAGUGUGUGUAAAAAGUAACAGAUUGGCCGGCAGUCUCGCAUCACAUCUGUAUCAGGUGUGGUGAUCAUGUUGAUUCUUGAGGUCCCUGCAUAUCCGUUGCUCUGGUAAACGCUUUUGCUCCUCGUACUAUACGACAAUGGCAUGAGCCUUACCACUUUUGAAUGCGCACACCAGGACAAGGAAUGAGAACCUGACGNAGAUCAGGAAUAAGUGCGUCAAAAGUAACCGAGUGGCCGGCAGUCUCGCAUCACUCUGCUGGUUGUACUUAUGUGUGACGUGAUGAUCACAUGGUUAUCGAGAGAACUGCAAUACCGCUUUUCUGGCAAGGCCCCGUCCGAGCCUCACCUCUUUUGAAUGCACACACAUACCAGACAGUGCCUCCCCUGACGAGAUCAGGAAGGAUGGUCUGCGAGUGUGUGUAAAAAGUAACAGAUUGGCCGGCAGUCUCGCAUCACAUCUGUAUCAGGUGUGGUGAUCAUGUUGAUUCUUGAGGUCCCUGCAUAUCCGUUGCUCCGGUAAAAGCUCUUUUUUCUCGUAGUAUUCGAGAAUGACACGAGCUUUACCACUUAUGCUCGCACACGCCAGGACAGGGAAUGAGAACCUGACGAGAUCAGGAAUAAGUGUGCGUCAUAAGUAACAGGGCGGCCGGCAGUCUCGCAUCACUGAACACGUUGUACUUCCGUGUGGAAAAGAAUACGGACGAAUGAGAGAGACCUGGUUUCUUGUGUUUUGGUAAUUGCCACCACCUCGACUUAGGAGAGGUUACCCGCUGAACUUAAGCAUAUCAGUAAGCGGAGGAAAAGAAACCAAUCAGGGAUUCCCUUAGUAGGGGCGACCGAACAGGGAUGAGCCCAGCGCAGAACCUCCCGGGCCACCCGGCCUGCGGCGGAAUGUUGCGUUAAGGGAAAGGUCGUAGUCAAACCCCACAGCCACGCGAGCUCUAAGUAAGUCACGAAUUGGCUAUCCCAACUAACGGCGGGAAAAUCUCCACGGAGGGUGUAAGACCCGUGUGGGCGCGUGUAAAUGCUGUGUGGGCUCGGCCUCUUUUCCCUGAGAGUCGCGUUGCUUGAGCAUGCAGCGCUAAGCAGGUCGUAAACUCGAUCUAAGGCUAAAUAUGUCCACAAGACCGAUAGCGAACAAGUACCGUGAGGGAAAGUUGAAAAGCACUCUGAAGAGAG